rnacentral:rRNA from 1 species
GAUGAACGCUGGCGGCGUGCCUAAUACAUGCAAGUAGAACGCUGAAGGAGGAGCUUGCUCUUCUGGAUGAGUUGCGAACGGGUGAGUAACGCGUAGGUAACCUGCCUGGUAGCGGGGGAUAACUAUUGGAAACGAUAGCUAAUACCGCAUGACAACAGUUAUUGCAUGAUAACUGUUUAAAAGGGGCAACUGCUCCACUACCAGAUGGACCUGCGUUGUAUUAGCUAGUUGGUGAGGUAACGGCUCACCAAGGCGACGAUACAUAGCCGACCUGAGAGGGUGAUCGGCCACACUGGGCCUGAGACACGGCCCAGACUCCUACGGGAGGCAGCAGUAGGGAAUCUUCGGCAAUGGACGGAAGUCUGACCGAGCAACGCCGCGUGAGUGAAGAAGGUUUUCGGAUCGUAAAGCUCUGUUGUAAGGGAAGAACGAGUGUGAGAGUGGAAAGUUCACACUGUGACGGUAACUUACCAGAAAGGGACGGCUAACUACGUG